AGUGAACGCUGGCGGCGUGCUUAACACAUGCAAGUCGAACGAGAACGGAUUAUAGCUUGCUAUAAUUGUCAGCUAAGUGGCGCACGGGUGAGUAAUGUAUAGGUAAUAUGCCUCUUACUAAGGGAUAACAAUUGGAAACGAUUGCUAAUACCUUAUAUUCCUUUUUAUUAAAAGAUAAAAAGGGAAAGAUUUAUCGGUAAGAGAUUAGCCUGUAUUGUAUCAGUUAGUUGGUGGGGUAAUGGCCUACCAAGACGAUGACGCAUAACUGGUUUGAGAGGAUGAUCAGUCACACUGGAACUGAGACACGGUCCAGACUCCUACGGGAGGCAGCAGUGGGGAAUAUUGCACAAUGGACGAAAGUCUGAUGCAGCAACGCCGCGUGGAGGAUGACACAUUUCGGUGCGUAAACUCCUUUUAUAUAAGAAGAUAAUGACGGUAUUAUAUGAAUAAGCACCGGCUAACUCCGUGCCAGCCGCCGCCGUAA
rnacentral:rRNA from 1 species